rnacentral:rRNA from 1 species
AACGAACGCUGGCGGCGUGCCUAACACAUGCAAGUCGAACGGAGAUAGGAAGCUUGCUUCUUAUUUUAGUGGCGCACGGGUGAGUAACGCGUGGAUAAUCUACCUGAUGCUCUGGGAUAACAUCUCGAAAGGGGUGCUAAUACCGGAUAAGCCCACGAGAUCUUCGGAUCAUGCGGGAAAAGGAGGGGACCUUCGGGCCUUCCGACAUCAGAUGAGUCCGCGUCCCAUUAGCUAGUUGGCGGGGUAAUGGCCCACCAAGGCUACGAUGGGUAGCUGGUCUGAGAGGAUGAUCAGCCACACUGGAACUGAGACACGGUCCAGACUCCUACGGGAGGCAGCAGUGGGGAAUUUUGCGCAAUGGGGGAAACCCUGACGCAGCAACGCCGCGUGAGUGAUGAAGGCUUUCGGGUCGUAAAGCUCUGUCAGAAGGGAAGAAAUGUAGGUGGCUAAUAUCCAUUCUACUUGACGGUACCUUCAAAGGAAGCACCGGCUAACUCCGUGCCAGCCGCCGCAGUAAUAC